GAUCCUGGCUCAGGAUGAACGCUGGCGGCGUGCCUAACACAUGCAAGUCGAGCGUGAACCCUUAGAAUGAAACUUCGGUCGAAUGAAGAGGGGGAAAGCGGCGGACGGGUGAGUAACGCGUAGGCAACCUGCCCCGUACAGAGGGAUAGCCUCGGGAAACCGGGAUUAAAACCUCAUAAUACCAUGGUAUCACAUGAUGCAAUGGUCAAAGAUUUAUCGGUAUGGGAUGGGCCUGCGUCUGAUUAGCUGGUUGGUGGGGUAACGGCCUACCAAGGCAACGAUCAGUAGCCGACCUGAGAGGGUAAUCGGCCACAUUGGAACUGAGACACGGUCCAAACUCCUACGGGAGGCAGCAGUGGGGAAUAUUGCACAAUGGGCGAAAGCCUGAUGCAGCAACGCCGCGUGAGCGAAGAAGGCCUUUGGGUCGUAAAGCUCUGUCGGGAAGGAAGAUAAUGACGGUACUUCCCGAGGAACGCCCCGGCUAACUACGUGCCAGCAGCUGC
rnacentral:rRNA from 1 species